UUUCCUCGCGUGUGGCACCAAGACAGCGACAGUCCUGCCCUCGUGGGUUGCUGGAGGAUUGAAUGAGUGAAUAGAUGUGCCGUGCGGGUCCCGUAGAAGGUUCUGUGGUGCUGGCUGGACCACGGGCCUCUUUCGGCCCAACAAUCACCUGCUGUGAACCCACAAAGAGAGAAGGAGGAACUCGAGGCCAUUUGAAACAGAGGAUUCAACUUGAUUCAACGAGUUACCCAGAGGUACUGUGGAUCCUGGAGAAGAGUAACAAGUGCCCAAGCCACUUGAUCGAAGAUCAAAAGUUCACGGACGGCCACGGUCACUGCAAAACUUCACAGAUGGGCGACCAUUGAGAAUGUUUGCUAACACGUGAGUCUCAGUUUAUUAAGCCCUAUGCUGAGGCAUUCUCUGUGGAGGGAAAAACCCAUUAAAAAGUUUAUGCACCUAAAAAAAAAAUAUGCGUCAACGAAAGCUGAAUUAUGGCUGCUGGAUGAAUCUCCCACAUAAGGAACGCUUGGAACAGAAUUACGGAUUAUAUCAUCUGUGAUUUGUCUGGGCCCAAAUAGGCUGAAACACACAAUAAUCUUGAGCUGGAACAACCUCUGUAUCCUCCAGGCUCUCUCCCGCCUCCAAGACAGGGACUUCGGACAGGGUGCCCUCAACACUUACGAAGGACAACAGAAGCAGACAGCUGGUUGAUUCUGUGAUGCUGGAAGUACGAGAGCUGUCCCCAGACAGCGGGCUCCUUGUUUUAAACUCAAUUCAGCCAACAUUUUGGAGCACUUUCUAUAUGCCCGACACUCUGUCCGGGGCAGUGGGGGAUUCAAACAUGAGCGGGACACAACACACACCGAGUCUUUAAGGCCCCUGGGAGAAGCCCAUCUGCUGUCAGAGCUCUGAAGAGAACGUCUUCCCUCUGGUGAAGGUGUGGGGAGCUCUUCACAGACAGGGGCGUGCAGGAUGCGGGUACUCUUCCCAUGCACGGCGAAAGCCUGAGGGCCAGUGUCCUUCCCGGGUCCUGGUGGAGAGACUCGCCUUGCCCCUCAUUUCUGGCCAGGAGCCCGCUUCCAAAGUAGGCAGCUGGCGUGUGCAGGCUCCUUCCCUACACUGGGAGAACACUUGGGGCACCCGCCACAGACUGGGCAUGUGUGGAGAGCGGGUGUUCUCCAGAGUGUAGGAGGGGGGUCCCGGUCCACCCAGCUUUGCAGCUGCCUCCCAGCUUCUGGCCGGAGCCCCUUGCCUCAGUCCUGGGUUCCUCUGGGGCUGGGAUGAAGAGAGAUGCAAGGGCAGCGGUGCUGUGGGUUCACCCCAGUUACCCAUCACUGGCCUUCUCUGGAGGAGUGCAUUUGUCCUUUGACAGAGCCCCCAACACAGACAUGGGGUCCCCAGCACAGCAGCAUUCCCCAGUGUGGGUGACGCCCCCUCUAGCCAGUCUCUCAUCUCCUCCCCUUACCUCUGCUCUGGCUGCACACCCCUGCACCCCGGAGCUGUCUCCCUUCUCACUGAGCAUUCACUCAGCUCAUGGGAAAAUCUCGUGCCACCCUCCCACACCAAGAGGCACAAGCACCGUUGGACCAUGCUGGCUGGUUCCCCUGGUCCUGCCAGGAGAACCUCUCAGGCAGGGGCUGCCUUCAAUCUUCUUCACGGGAGAACUCAGUCUUCCAGUCACAUGUCCCUCACGCUUUGCUGCAGCAGUGGCACCAGGAAGGUCUCUGGGGUGCCACCCCUUAGCCAGACAACUCAA
rnacentral:lncRNA from 1 species